rnacentral:lncRNA from 1 species
ACUCCUUACUCAGGAAGAAGGGAGAAGGGUUUCGCAGCCUUUGGCUGUGCAGCACUCAGGAGGGACUCAUUGUAUUCCCCUUGGAGAGAGGAGGAAACUAGGGUACAGCUGAUGGCGGCGGAUGGGAGCUUCAGACCUCGGUGCACAGAAUCUGCUUACUGCAUUUAGUCACCGAAGGUGUUUCUUCUGGGAUGUGUUUGCAGGGCACCAUCUGCCUUCCCUGGUGAUCCAGUGACAAACAGAGGGAGAAAGAAGAUUGGCACCAGAAGAACUUCCUGGAGCAGCUUUGGAACGGUGGCAGCCAAGUGUAUCCAGCUUGGGUCAUGGAGCACAGAGUCCCUGGUCAUAGCUGCCUGAAGUCACUGACUGUGAGCCACUCAGAGAUAAACAAAUGGACCCACUCAGUAGAACACACGGUGCCUGUAUCACCCCAUCUAAGUGCUUCGGAUGGCUGAAUGCUAAGGGGAGCCAGUGAUUUCACUUCUCUAGGCUUACCCCGAUGUAGUAGGCCCUCACUCAACAUCUGCUAACUAUCUGAUCUGACAGCACUCAGCCUGGUGCUGAUGCUGCCAGUCCAUGUCUAGGGAACUGCUUAGCCUGCAGAGAGAAAUCCUUUUCAUUUGGAAGAAUGAACUUGACCAUUUGCCUAUGACUAUGGGGAAGGUAGACCUCGUGGCCUAGAGUCUCACUCCCUUGCAAGUUGGCAUGUAUUUUUGUAUUUUGUGUCUCCUGGCUGUUCACUCAUGAGGAAUGAUAGGGCCAUUGUUUGGUCCUGGUUUCCUUCUGGGAAGCGACCUCCUAUCCAGGAUAGACACACACUUAGGAUGCUUUAAAGAGAGAUUAGCUAAACUAGAGCAAACAAAAUGCACAGCAUGCCCUGAACUGGGGUAGAUAAGUUUCUUGUCUUCCUGAGAGCCCGUUCUAUGGGUGGCAACUUAAUUUUCUUCAUCAUACAAGCUUGGAAAACAUCAGAGGUAUCUUUGUCCUCUCUUGUGACUCCCACACCCAAUCUGUCCUAGUGAGUUUGAGUCUCAAAGCAUGUGUAAGGCUGGCUCAGGUCUUCCUGUCUCUUAUCUGAUCUGAGCAGUUACAGAAGCCCCUCAUUGCUAUUCUUGCCCCUAGCUUUCCAAUAUCUUUAAUGAGUAGCCGUUUUUUUAAACUGUGCUCACCAAGCCUUAGGCUCUCUCAGCCCAGUGUUAAGACCUCACCCUUCAGUGAAGGAUCAAACAGAGUCUGGAUGAGGCUCGUGGGCACUCAGUACUAUCCAACCAGUUCUAAGUUCUCAUUUAAAAUAUUUUUAGAGGUCUGAGAAACGAAAAAAGGCUCUAUUUUUAAAAGCUGUUUUCGGACUUUUGGGUGAGAUUUCACUUAAAGAAAUCUGUGGCUCAGAUUUCUGGAGGCAUUGUGUUAAGUGAAUGAGCCAGGCUCGGAAAGACAAAAACCCCACAUGUUCUCACUUAGAUAUAGACUCUUUAAGGUGAUUUCACAGAAGGAUAGAAUAGAAUUGCAGCUCUGAGGGGCUGGGAAAGAGGACGGCUAGGGGGGAGGAAGAAGAGACAAUUGGGCAGGAGGGAUAAGUUUUGGUGUUCUAUAGCACAGCAGGGUAACUAUGUUAACAAUUCAGUGAAUGUUUCAAAGUAGCCAGUGGAGAGGAUUUUGAGUGGGUUCAACACAAAGAAGUGAUAAGUGUCUGAGGGGAAGGGAUAUUCGGAUAACCUUGAUCUGAAUUUUGCUACACAUUGUAUUUGUAUACUGAAGUAUCACAUUGCACUUUACAAAGAUGUACAAUAAUAAUAAUAAUAAUAAUAAUAAUAAUAAUAAUAAAACAUGUUGCGG